rnacentral:miRNA from 1 species
AGAUAUUGAUGUGGCUCAAUC